AUUGAACGCUGGCGGCAGGCCUAAUACAUGCAAGUAGGACGCAGUUGCGAACGGGUGAGUAACGCGUAGGUAACUACCUAUUAGAGGGGGAUAACUAUUGGAAACGAUAGCUAAUACCGCAUACUAGUAGAUGGACCUGCGUUGUAUUAGCUAGUAGGUAGGGUAAUGGCCUACCUAGGCAACGAGACAUAGCCGACCUGGAAGGGGGAUCGGCCACACUGGGACUGAGAAACGGCCCAGACUCCUCCGGGAGGCAGCAGUAGGGAAGCUUCCGCAAUGGGGGGAACCCUGACCGAGCAACGCCGCGUGAGUGAAGAAGGUUUUCGGGUCGUAAAGCUCUGUUGUUAAGGAAGCGGUACUUAACCAGAAAGCGACGGCUAACUACGUGCCAGCAGCCGCGGUAAUAC
rnacentral:rRNA from 1 species